CUGACAGGCCUGGAAACUGAAGUGCUUUGCCCUCAGACCAGAUACAGCGUGGGCAGCAGUAGUGCAAUUUUCCCCAUGCUUCUUGACUAACAUGUCACCCUUCUGAUCUGAAAGCUACCAUCUCCAAGACUAUGGGAAUUGAUUAGCCUCUGCCUCCCACCCUUCUCAAUCUGUAGUGUCU
ensembl:misc_RNA